AAUGACACCAAGGGGGACUGCGCGUUCCCAAAUUCUGUUGGGGAGUUGAGUGCCAGCUCCUGCACAACGGAGCGGCCAUUUGUCUGCAAAACAGCCAAGCACGGAGGGGUUCCACAGCUGCCCUCAUUAGUCGGCCAACCGGAAUGGACUGCCACAUGCGGCUGGUGGCUGAACGACCCAACCAACGACUUCUGCUACCUGAUGAUCCGCCACCCCACCAAGACCUGGAAGGAGGCGCAAGCCAACUGUCAACGCCUCCACGGGAACCUGCUCAGCAUCACCGACGACCAUGAGCAGACCUUUGUACAUGGUUACGUCGGGUCUCUGCCCUCUCUGUGGUUGGGCGCCGAUGUCUCCACCACGGAAGAUGACGCCCAAUGGACUGACGGAUCCCCGUUCACUUACAG